UAAAUACUCCCUCCGUCCGGAAAUACUUGUCGGAGAAAUGAAUGUAUCUAGACGUAUGUUAGUUAUAGAUACAUCCAAUUUUAUCCAUCUUUUCGACGAGUAUUUCCGGACGGAGGGAGUAUUUG
rfam:Triticum aestivum genome assembly, contig: Triticum_aestivum_CS42_TGACv1_scaffold_224745_3B